GACCGUGGAAGACCACCACGUUGAUAGAUCGGAUGUGGAAGUGCGGUAACGCAUGGAGCUAACCGAUACUAAUUGUCCUAUUCGCGCUUAAAC
rnacentral:rRNA from 1 species